AGCGAACGCUGGCGGCAGGCCUAACACAUGCAAGUCGAACGAAGUCUUCGGACUUAGUGGCGGACGGGUGAGUAACACGUGGGAACGUGCCUUUAGGUUCGGAAUAACUCAGGGAAACUUGUGCUAAUACCGAAUGUGCCCAUCGGGGGAAAGAUUUAUCGCCUUUAGAGCGGCCCGCGUCUGAUUAGCUGGUUGGUGAGGUAAAGGCUCACCAAGGCUACGAUCAGUAGCUGGUCUGAGAGGAUGACCAGCCACAUUGGGACUGAGACACGGCCCAAACUCCUACGGGAGGCAGCAGUGGGGAAUCUUGCGCAAUGGGCGAAAGCCUGACGCAGCCAUGCCGCGUGGAUGAUGAAGGUCUUAGGAUUGUAAAAUCCUCUCACCGGUGAAGAUAAUGACUGUAGCCGGAGAAGAAGCCCCGGCUAACUUCGUGCCAGCAGCCGCGGUAAGAC
rnacentral:rRNA from 1 species